rnacentral:rRNA from 1 species
GUGAGGAAUAUUGCGCAAUGGAGGCAACUCUGACGCAGCCAUGCCGCGUGCAGGAAGAAGGCGCUACGCGUUGUAAACUGCUUUUAACCGGGAAGAAACCCCAGGACGUGUCCUGGGUUGACGGUACCGGAGGAAUAAGAACCGGCUAACUUCGUGCCAGCAGCCGCGGUAAUACGAAGGGUGCAAGCGUUAUCCGGAUUCAUUGGGUUUAAAGGGUGCGUAGGCGGCGCGUUAAGUCAGUGGUGAAAUCCUGCAGCUUAACUGUAGACGUGCCAUGGAUACUGGCGCUCUUGAGUGCGCUUGAAGUGGGCGGAAUGUGCCGUGUAGCGGUGAAAUGCUUAGAUAUGGCACAGAACACCAAUUGCGAAGGCAGCUCACUAAGGCGAUACUGACGCUGAGGCACGAAAGCGUGGGGAUCGAACAGGAUUAGAAACCCUUGUAGUCC